UACGGGGGGUGCGAGCGUUGUCCGGAAUCACUGGGCGUAAAGGGCGCGUAGGUGGUUUGAUAAGGGUGUGGUGAAAGCCCGGAGCUCAACUCCGGGUCUGCCGUGCCGACUGUCAAACUCGAGGGCUGUAGAGGCAGACGGAAUUCCGGGUGUAGCGGUGGAAUGCGUAGAUAUCGAGAGGAACACCUGCGGCGAAGGCGGGUUGCUGGGCUGACACUGACGCUGAAGUGCGAAAGCUAGGGGAGCGAACGGG
rnacentral:rRNA from 1 species